rfam:Ilyobacter polytropus DSM 2926, complete genome.
GGUUAAGAUAUUAAGGGCACACGGAGAAUGCCUAGGUAACAAGAGCCGAUGAAGGACGUGAUAAGCUGCGAUAAGCUGUGGUUAGCUGCAAUUGAGCAUUGAUCCGCAGAUUUCCCAAUGGGGCAACCUGCUAGAUUGAAGAUCUAGCGCGAAAGAGGUAAGUGGGUGAACUGAAACAUCUAAGUAACCCGAGGAAAAUAAAGUAAAAACGAUUCCCUAAGUAGCGGCGAGCGAACGGGGAUGAGCCUAAACCAAUACAGUGUCAAGGAUGUAGCCGUUGCUGUAUUGGGGUAGUGGGAAGAACGCCUGGAGAACUACAAGGUAUCCGGCAAUUUUAAAGACGUAACUGGAAGGAAUUGGAAAGUUCCGCCGUAGCGGGUGAUAGCCCCGUACAGGUAAACUCUUUAAGUUGUGUGUUCUCUCCCGAGUAGCACGGGACACGUGAAACCCUGUGUGAAUCUGCGAGGACCAUAUCUCGUAAGGCUAAAUACUCUUGUUAACCGAUAGUGAAUAGUACCGUGAGGGAAAGGUGAAAAGAACCCCGGGAGGGGAGUGAGAUAGAACCUGAAACCGUGUGCUUACAAGCGGUCAGAGGUCUUCGGACUGACUGGCGUGCCUUUUGGAGAAUGAUCCUGCGAGUUACGAUCAGUGGCAAGGUUAAGUAUAACGGAGCCGUAGGGAAACCGAGUCUGAAUAGGGCGAUACAGUCGCUGGUCGUAGACGCGAAACCUGGUGAUCUAUGCCUGUCCAGGAUGAAGCUGUGGUAAGACACAGUGGAGGUCCGAACCCACCGUCGUUGAAAAGCCGGGGGAUGAGGUAGGUAUAGGGGUGAAAAGCCAAUCGAACCAGGAGAUAGCUCGUUCUCUCCGAAAUGCAUUUAGGUGCAGCCUUAAGCGUUCAACUAUGGGGGUAGAGCACUGAAUGGUCUAGGGGGCGUACCGCUUACCGAAAUCAAUCAAACUCCGAAUACCAUAGUUCUAGAGCUUAGGAGUGAGACUAUGGGUACUAAGAUCCAUGGUCAAAAGGGAAACAGCCCAGACCACCGACUAAGGUCCCUAAUUAUAGCUAAGUGGGAAAGGAGGUGGAGAUUCUGUAACAACCAGGAGGUUGGCUUAGAAGCAGCCAUACCUUUAAAGAGUGCGUAAUAGCUCACUGGUCGAGAGUCUCUGCGCCGACAAUGUAACGGGGCUAAGCUAUAAACCGAAGUCGUGGAAUUCAACUUUUAAGUUGGAUUGGUAGGAGAGCGUUCUGUAGGCCGUUGAAGGGGAACUGAUAAGGGACCCUGGAGGUAUCAGAAGUGAGAAUGCAGGAAUGAGUAGCGAGAAAGGGGGCGAGAAUCCCCCUCGCCGGAAGAACAAGGGUUCCAGGGUAAAGUUUGUCUUCCCUGGGUAAGCCGGGACCUAAGCCGAGGCUAGAUUGCGUAGGCGAAUGGAAAGCAGGUUAAUAUUCCUGCGCCGGUUAUAGUUUGUGAUGGAGGGACGCAGAAGGGUAUGCGCGCAUGGCGACGGUUGUCCAUGUGCAAGCAUGUAGGGUGACUUGGUAGGAAAAUCCGCCAGGUUAUAUCUGAGGUGUUACGCGGAGUCUUCGGACGAAGGUGCAAAUCCCACGCUGCCGAGAAAAGCUUCUAAACGUUAAAUUAUAACCGCCCGUACCCGAAACCGACACAGGUGUUCAGGGUGAGAAACCUAAGGCGUACAGGCUAACUCUCGCUAAGGAACUCUGCAAAAUGGCCCCGUAACUUCGGGAGAAGGGGUGCCACUGAUUGUGAUAGUUACAAGCGAACUAAAGCGAUUGGUGGCCGCAGUGAAGAGUCUCAAGCAACUGUUUAGCAAAAACACAGGUCUAUGCUAAGCUGAAAGGCGAUGUAUAUGGGCUGACACCUGCCCAGUGCCGGAAGGUUAAGAGGAGGAGUGAGAGCUCCGAAUUGAAGCCCCGGUGAACGGCGGCCGUAACUAUAACGGUCCUAAGGUAGCGAAAUUCCUUGUCGGGUAAGUUCCGACCUGCACGAAUGGUGUAAUGACUUGAGAGCUGUCUUGGCGGGAGGCCUGGUGAAAUUGUACUACCGGUGAAGAUACCGGUUACCUGCAGUAGGACGGAAAGACCCCAUGAAGCUUUACUGUAGCUUGGUAUUGGGUUUUGGCAUUACGUGUAUAGGAUAGUUGGGAGACUAUGAAGGCAUGGCGCUAGCUGUGUGUGAGUCGCUGGUGGAAUACCAACCACGUAAUUUUGAAAUUCUAAUCUGUGCUUUGUACGCAUGGAGACAGUGCUAGGUGGGCAGUUUGACUGGGGCGGUCGCCUCCGAAAGAGUAACGGAGGCGUUCAAAGGUUCCCUCAGGUUGGAUGGAAAUCAACCGAAGAGUGCAAUGGCAUAAGGGAGCUUGACUGCGAGACUGACAGGUCGAGCAGGUGCGAAAGCAGGACAUAGUGAUCCGGCGAUUCCGAAUGGAAGGGUCGUCGCUCAACGGAUAAAAGCUACUCUGGGGAUAACAGGCUGAUUUUGCCCGAGAGUCCAUAUCGACGGCAAAGUUUGGCACCUCGAUGUCGGCUCAUCGCAUCCUGGGGCUGGAGAAGGUCCCAAGGGUUGGGCUGUUCGCCCAUUAAAGCGGUACGUGAGCUGGGUUCAGAACGUCGUGAGACAGUUCGGUCCCUAUCCACUGCAGGCGCAAGAGUAUUGAAAAGAUCUGUCCUUAGUACGAGAGGACCGGGAUGGACAAACCUCUGAUGUACCAGUUGUCACGCCAGUGGCACAGCUGGGUAGUCACGUUUGGAACGGAUAACCGCUGAAAGCAUCUAAGCGGGAAGCCAGCUUUGAGAUAAGUACUCUGUUCUAUAUGAACUAAGACACCUUCGAGACUAGGAGGUUGAUAGGUUGGGGGUGUAAGGACCGUGAGGUUUUUAGCUGACCAAUACUAAUAUGUCGAAGUCUUAACCUA